rnacentral:lncRNA from 1 species
GUCCAGAGUAUGGCUGUGGUUAUCGGUGGGCCCAGUAGAAAGCCCCUUGGUAAUAACCAGGUCUAUAGUAUGGCUGUGGUUAUGGGUGGGCCCAGUAGAAAGCCCCUUGGUAAUAACCAGGUCCAGAGUAUGGCUGUGGUUAUGGGUGGGCCCAGUAGAAAGCCCCUUGGUAAUAACCAGGUCCAGAGUAUGGCUGUGGUUAUGGGUGGGCCCAGUAGAAAGCCCCUUGGUAAUAACCAGGUCCAGAGUAUGGCUGUGGUUAUGGGUGGGCCCAGUAGAAAGCCCCUUGGUAAUAACCAGGUCCAGAGUAUGGCUGUGGUUAUGGGUGGGUCCAGUAGAAAGC